AUGGUCCGGGCCUGUCACGGAGGGAGAAAGCCGUAGAACUGUCCCACCGUACCGAGGAAGCACGCCGUGGCACUCAACUACCCAUGUCGCUUUUGUGUGCAAAUCCGGAUUACGAUGCGCUAAAUCGGCUCCUGGUCGGUGUCGUCAUGGACUCGAUGGAGCGCGCGUACGUGUUCUCCCCUCUCCCUCGUGAAGGCCGGUGAGGUGACAGCGAGAGAAUUCAUUAACUAGAUCGUUUUCUCCAUUGAAUUCCGUCUCAUCCCGGCAACAGGGCGCAGCUGCCCGGUCCGUGACGUGCGCACAGGGACCCGAUCCUUUUCCCAGAUCAUGGAUAUCUUGCGUGGGCUCAUCGCGGUUUUAAUUCAGUUUUAGUCACCACCUGGCUUGCUGGUCCAUGCACGGAAGCUGUUGGAUCGUUGAACCUUCUUCUUCUUCUUCUUCUUCUUCUUCUUCUUCUUCUUCUUCUUCUUCUUCUUCUUCUUCUUCCUUUGGGUUGUGGCAGGGGAUAGGAGAAGUGAGAGAGACACAGAGAGGCAGGCGCGCCAUGUCAAUGCCGUGGGCGAUGACCGUGUCCGUCGUGGAUAUGGUGUGGGAGGUCCUGGCGGUGUGGGUGUCGUCCUGCCUCGCCGGCGCCACCGCCGUCGCGCGCGCCUUCCGGACAGGGGACCUCGUCGGAUCCUUCCGGCCCGGCAUCUGACGCUCCUCGCUGUCUCCCUUCCUGCAGAUCGAUCGAUCCCGUCGCUGUGGCGCUGCUUCCAUCGUCGAUCAAGCGCGGAGCUCUUGAUCCAUCAAGUCGCUGCAACAGCAUCAUUGUUUUUGUUUAGUAUAGUUUUGUGUGUGUCUAUUAUCACGCGGUGGCAGUGUAACAUUGGACGACAUUAUUCUUCUUCUAUUUCUAUUCUUUCAUUGAUGUACAUAACAAUUAAUAAUACCGGUGGUGAUCUUGAAAA